UACGUAGGGUGCGAGCGUUAAUCGGAAUUACUGGGCGUAAAGCGUGCGCAGGCGGUCGUGUAAGUCAGAUGUGAAAUCCCCGGGCUCAACCUGGGAACUGCAUUUGAGACUGCAAGGCUAGAGUACGGCAGAGGGGGAUGGAAUUCCGCGUGUAGCAGUGAAAUGCGUAGAUAUGCGGAGGAACACCGAUGGCGAAGGCAAUCCCCUGGGCCUGUACUGACGCUCAUGCACGAAAGCGUGGGGAGCAAACAGG
rnacentral:rRNA from 1 species